rnacentral:rRNA from 1 species
GAUGAACGCUGGCGGCGUGCCUAACACAUGCAAGUCGAACGGAGAGAGCGAGACGGAGAUUCGUCGAAGACUCGCUUGAUCAGUGGCGGACGGGUGAGUAACACGUGGGCAACCCGCCCUGUCGAGGGGGAUAACGGAGAGAAAUCACCGCUAAUACCGCAUAAGCACACGGUGCCGCAUGGCACAGGGUGAAAAGGAGCAAUCCGCGACAGGAUGGGCCCGCGUCCGAUUAGCCGGUUGGCGGGGUAACGGCCCACCAAAGCAACGAUCGGUAGCCGGACUGAGAGGUUGAACGGCCACAUUGGGACUGAGACACGGCCCAAACUCCUACGGGAGGCAGCAGUGGGGAAUAUUGCACAAUGGGGGAAACCCUGAUGCAGCGACGCCGCGUGGGUGAAGAAGUAUUUCGGUAUGUAAAGCCCUAUCGGCAGGGAAGAAUAAAGACGGUACCUGACUAAGAAGCCCCGGCUAACUACGUGCCAGCAGCCGCGGUAAUACGUAGGGGGCAAGCGUUAUC